rnacentral:misc_RNA from 1 species
UUUCCGUAGGGGAACCUGCGGAAGGAUCAUUCAUAAUAAAGUGUUUUAUGGCACUUUUUAAAAAUCCAUAUCCACCUUGUGUGCAAUGUUAGAUCUCGUCAAUCUUGGCGAGAUUUUUAUACAUCAACUCAUUCUUUAACUAAUUUGUCUGAAAAAUAUCAUGAAUACUUAAUUCAAAAUACAACUUUCAACAACGGAUCUCUUGGCUCUC